rnacentral:ncRNA from 2 species
GAGUAUGGUAUUAAUAGAGAUUGUUAACAAAUUAAUAAGCUUAAAGAGCUCAGGAACCCGGUGUGAUUCCGGGACUGUGCCGCAACUGUGAGUCUGACGUAACGCCGGACAAGCCAGGAACUGACCUUUAAGACUAGAAUGGU